UACGUAGGUGGCAAGCGUUGUCCGGAUUUAUUGGGUUUAAAGGGUGCGUAGGCGGCCCUGUAAGUCAGUGGUGAAAUACUCUAGCUUAACUAGAGGGGUGCCAAUGAUACUGCAGGGCUUGAGUACAGAUGAGGUAGGCGGAAUUGACGGUGUAGCGGUGAAAAUGCAUAGAUAUCGUCAAGAACACCUAUAGCGAAGGCAGCUUACUGGGCUGUAACUGACGCUGAGGCACGAAAAGUGUGGGGGAUCAAACAGG
rnacentral:rRNA from 1 species